UACAGAGGUCUCAAGCGUUGUUCGGAUUCAUUGGGCGUAAAGGGUGCGUAGGUGGCGCGGUAAGUCGGGUGUGAAAUCUCGGAGCUUAACUCCGAAAUUGCAUUCGAUACUGCCGUGCUCGAGGACUGGAGAGGAGACUGGAAUUCAUGGUGUAGCAGUGAAAUGCGUAGAGAUCAUGAGGAAGACCAGUGGCGAAGGCGGGUCUCUGGGCAUUAACUGACGCUGAGGAGCGAAAGCAUGGGGAGCGAACAGG
rnacentral:rRNA from 1 species